UCCCUGGUGGUAUAGCGACUAUGGAUUCCGCGCUCUCACCGCCGCGGCCCGGGUUCAAUUCCCAGGCAGGGAA